rnacentral:rRNA from 1 species
UGGGGAAUAUUGGGCAAUGGGCGAAAGCCUGACCCAGCGACGCCGCGUGGGUGAUGAAGGCCUUCGGGUUGUAAAACCCUUUCGUGCGGAAAGAAUAGUCCUGUAGCGAAUAACUACGGGAUUUGACGGUACCGCAGGAAGAAGCACCGGCUAACUCCGUGCCAGCAGCCGCGGUAAUACGGAGGGUGCAAGCGUUGUUCGGAAUUAUUGGGCGUAAAGGGCGCGUAGGUGGUUGUGAUAGUCAGAUGUGAAAUCAUUCGGCUCAACCGAAGAACUGCAUCUGAAACUUCAUAGCUCGAGUACAGGAGGGGGAAACGGAAUUCCAGGUGUAGAGGUGAAAUUCGUAGAUAUCGGGAGGAACACCAGUGGCGAAGGCGGUUUCCUGGCCUGAUACUGACGCUGAGGCGCGAAAGCGUGGGGAGCAAACAG